UUUUUUUUUUUUUUUUUUUUUUUUUUUUAGCAAAUCCAAAAUUUAAUGUUAGAGGAGGCUCUACCUACACUACACAAAUGAUUGAGUCCUUACCAAAUAUAAAAUUAACUUGGGCAUUCUGACCCUUGACUAUUUCUGCAAAGAUUUUUGCUUGAAAAUGAAACACAACUAAAAAUUUUAGUUGAGUAGGCACUACGUCCAGCAUGAAGCCCAAUGCCAGCCCAAACUUAUACGACCCUGAGAUCAAGAUCUGAGCCCAAAUCAAGAGUUGGAUGCUUAACGUACUAAACCACCCAGGCACCCUUUUUUUGCCCACUUUAAACAAUAUACAGGAAACAUAAUCAGAAACUAAGGGUUUUGUUUUUUAAAUCUUAAGAUUUUGAAUAGCCAGUUCGAAGGUCUGCUUAGAACUUUUAAAGGACUCAAAUUGCCAGUAGGAUAUUGAACUUUAAUAUAGCCAUCAUUGUAUUAAAUCAGCCUACUACUUCACUUUCUCACUGGUUCUCUUUCCCUUUAACAUGGUAGAUGAGAUGAGGUAUGUCUGAUAUGGCCCCUGCCUGCUUCUCUAGCUUAUUACCCACCCUCUCCCUUUUUCUGAGCUCCAGCCUUGAUUUCCAGGAUGUGCUAUUUUCCCAACUCAGGACUUUUGCCUUGCCUCCCAGAGGAUUCAUUCUACCUAGAAUGCUGUUUACCCCUUCCCUUACCACAUUUUAACUCCUCAUCCCAUCCAUCAGCUCUAGCUCAGAGAAAUACCAUGUGGGAGUGUGUGCCUGGGUGGCAAAGUCGGUUGAGUGACAGUCUCUUGACCUCAGUUCAGGUCUUGAUCUCAACAGUCUGAGUUUGAGCCCCACCUUCCUCCCCAACCCCCAUCCUGGGUAUGGAGACUACCUAGCUGGCUCAGUCUGCAGGGCAUGUAACUUUUUUAAGAUUUUAUUUAUUCAUGAGAAACACAGGCAGACAUAGGCAGAGGGAGAAGCAGGCUCCCCCGCAGGAGUCCUAGGAUCACGACCUGAGCUGAAGGCAGACGCUCAACCACUGAACUACCCAGGUCAGGUGCCUAAGCACGUGACUUGGUCUUGGGGUUGUGAGUUCAAGCCCCAUGUUGCAGUAGAGAUUGCUUAAAAAUAAAUUUUUAAAAAAAAUACCAUUUGUGAGUAAAACUUUGACUCUACUAGAUCAGUUCUUCAUGACACUCUUGGUAACCUAUACUUCAUGACUUAACAGUUUAUAAUAGUUGUUCAAUGUCUGUUUCCCCACUGGAUUACAAGUUCCAAGAUAUCAGAAAACCUGCUUAUCAUCCCUAGAGCAGUGUUGGCUAAAGAAAUUAGUCCCAAAGUAAAACUACUGUCUCAUAAUUACUAGGCAUGUAAACUACGUAGUACAAUUCAGUCCAUUCUUUGCAGCAUUUGUUUCCUGACUUAAUAGUAUAUAAGUAUUUAAUUGUAAACGUUUGCUUUCUUAGGCUUUUUUAAAAGGUUAAAACUGAGCAGUAA
rnacentral:lncRNA from 1 species